rnacentral:piRNA from 1 species
UGUAGACCACACUGGAAGGAAGCCCUA